GAGUGAUCUUGGCUCAGAUUGAACGCUGGCGGCAUGCCUUACACAUGCAAGUCGAACGGCAGCAUGAUCUAGCUUGCUAGAUUGAUGGCGAGUGGCGAACGGGUGAGUAAUACAUCGGAGCGUGCCCUGUAGUGGGGGAUAACUAGUCGAAAGAUUAGCUAAUACCGCAUACGACCUGAGGGUGAAAGUGGGGGACCGCAAGGCCUCAUGCUAUAGGAGCGGCCAAUGUCUGAUUAGCUAGUUGGUGGGGUAAAGGCCCACCAAGGCGACGAUCAGUAGCUGGUCUGAGAGGACGAUCAGCCACACUGGGACUGAGACACGGCCCAGACUCCUACGGGAGGCAGCAGUGGGGAAUUUUGGACAAUGGGCGAAAGCCUGAUCCAGCAAUGCCGCGUGUGUGAAGAAGGCCU
rnacentral:rRNA from 1 species